rnacentral:tRNA from 1 species
CAGGGAGACAACAAAAUGUUUAAUAUUAUUUUGUCACCUUAGGUCGAUCGGUAUCUCACAUUCUUAAUUUUUUAAGAAUUUCAUUCCCUAAGUUUUUCUAGGUCACACCCAUUAGUUUUCCUGGGCCAUUAGCUCAGGUGGUUAGAGCGCACCCCUGAUAAGGGUGAGGUCCCUGGUUCAAGUCCAGGAUGGCCCAUAUCUCUAUGUUGGGGGUAUAGCUCAGUUGGUAGAGCGCCUGCUUUGCAAGCAGGAUGUCAGCGGUUCGAGUCCGCUUACCUCCACUGAUUACCACCUCUUCCAUAAUUUGUAGAAAGGAAAAAUUUUGAGCUGUGAUCAUUUUCUGAACGACUCUAGCUUCCUAGUAAAAUUACUAAGAUGCUGGACUCAUUGAAUUAAUUUCAUUGUUUUCAGAGAACCUUGACAACUGCAUAGAUUAUUUUAAAGACAAUAAGCAUCUUUAAUGAUGCAGAUUUAUUAUUUGUGCUAAUGCAUUAAUAACAAUUCUAUUAAGCUGAUGCUUCA